CUGAUGAAGGCUGAGGAAUGUCACAAGGGAGAGUUCACUGUGGGCUGAGGCCAUCCAAGGAGACUUCUAGCAGGAGGUAGCCCUGAAGGAAACAACAUUUUGAAGGCUAGAUCUGGGGUGAAGUAUGGGGAGGCGGUCCAGAGAAGCCACAAGACAAAGGUCCAAAUGUUUAAAAAGUGCAGAAGAUGGUAUUGAAAAUUCAAUUAGACCCACCCAGCAGAAGCAGUGGAAAUAACGUUGAGGAAACACUCUGAAGUCACACUGUGGAAGGCUUUGAAAGAUCAGCCAAAUCACUGGAAUUUUAUCCUGGAGGCAGGAGGAAUCUCUGCAGCUUUGUGAAUGUGAGAGAAGUCAGAGAACAAUGGUGAUCUAGAAAACUCCUUUUAGCUGAAUAUGCAAGAUGUAUAAUAAGGGAGUAGCUGGAAGAAGAGAGAUCAUAAGGAACACUGGACUCAGAAUCAGGAGGCUGAUGAUGCUGCUGUCCAUGUAAACUUGGACAGAUCAUGUCCAGAUAUAUGCAUAAUUGCAUGGGACUGUCUUCUCUCAAAUGUGAAAUACUGCCCUGAUGUUACGGAGGCCUUGGGCAUCAUAUACCAUGAGGUUAAAAUGCUUUGUAAACUAGAAAACUGGGGGAUGAUGAUCCAGGCUGGCAGGAGGCAGUAGAGACAAGGGUUGGUGACCCUGGAGUUCGGAGGUUAGGGGGAGGUUGAGUGAGAGGCUCCAUUUGGGGGGAACAUCUUCCCUCUGGAGGGAUAUCUUUUCUUCCCUGGCAUGUCCUGGGUCACCUGGCAUAGACUGGGGGGUCAGCAAAAGAUGGGGAUGUGUGGAGCUAGCAAUCAAGAGCUGAAGAUGAGAAGUCCCCCAGGUCCCUGGUAACUUCCUCAAGGGAAAGAAAGAAAACACACAGCUAGCUUUUCAAUCUGAAGUUUGAAAUAAAAACAAACAUUUGGGUUACUGUUGUGCAGAGUUGCCGAGUAAUCAUGGAGGGCAAAGAAGAGCUGGUUUGCACAAGGUGGUUGCUCAAUGGAAAGGUCUUGCCUGCAGAGGUGUCCGGGAAGAUACAAGCAGAAGUCAGCAUGGCUGUUUUCAGAGCUGCUUGUUGGAAGGCAGGCCUUGCCCUCGUAGAAGAGAGAGUUAACAUGGACGAGUGGGAUGAAAACUGCUGAAUUGUGACUAGGUUAGGAGGGUUGGAGAACUUUCUAGGCUCUCAGCCAGCCCUGGGCUUCUAGUGGAAGCAUUUCACAAUCUCCUCCUUUCUCUGCGGGUUAUGUCCUCGGAUUGAACAGUCUUUGGGGGCUUUUCGGGCGCUGUGCUAAGUAUUAUCUUAGUUCCUCUUCACGAAAGCCCUUCACUCUUAGCAUCACUUUGUAAAUGAAGAACAUGAGGUUCAGAGAGGUUAAGUAACUUUCCCAAGGCCACCCUGCAGAAUGAAGGUUACACCUUAAAGCUCUUCCUCAUGGCCAAGCCUCUUAGGAAUGUUCCCAGCCUGCCUUGUGGGAAUGCCAGACACCUCCAGCCAGAGGAAAGUAAAGAGGUGGAUCCUAGGACCUUGCUGUGGAAUUGACUGCAGAAGCUGACUUCUAUCCAGAGAAGGAGGCGCUGAUCCAGGAGCCUUGGUUUGAUUUUUCUG
ensembl:lncRNA